AUGGCCUCUUCAGGCUCUCUCCUUCCCACCCUGCUGGCGUUGCUCCUGCUCCAGGCCACCGCCACCGCGUCGGCCGCGACAACGGCGACGUUCGUCCGGGCGGCCGACCUCGCCGAGCGGCUGGAGGGAGCGGUGACCCGGCAGUGCUGGGAGGCGCUGCUGGACAUCAAGUCGUGCACGGGGGAGAUCAUCCUCUUCUUCCUAAACGGCGAGGCGUACCUGGGGCCCGGCUGCUGCCGCGCCAUCCGCGUCAUCGAGCAGCGCUGCUGGGCCGCCGACCUCAUGCUGUCUGUCAUCGGGUUCACCCCGGAGGAGGGGGACAUGCUCAAGGGCUACUGCGACGCGGGCGAUGACGGCAACGGCGGCGAGGGGCAGCACCAUAGCAUCGGCGGGUCAUCUCCGGCCCCGCCGCCGCACCGUGCUCUUGAUGGCGUUGCAAGUGGCGGUGGCACCGUGGCCGCCGCGGCGGGAAGGAAAGGGCUGGGUUCGCCGUUAGGCUGA
rnacentral:rRNA from 1 species